UGGGGAAUAUUGCACAAUGGAGGGAACUCUGAUGCAGCGACGCCGCGUGAGUGAUGAAGGAAUUCGUUUCGUAAAACUCUGUUCUAUGGGAAGAAAAGGACUGUACCAUAGGAGAAAGCUCCGGCUAAAUACGUGCCAGCAGCCGCGGUAAUACGUAUAGAGCGAGCGUUGUCCGGAAUUAUUGGGCGUAAAGGGUGCGCAGGCGGCUUUACAAGUUGGAUGUGAAAUAUUGUGGCUCAACCACAAACGUGCAUCCAAAACUGCAAAGCUUGAGUUAAGGAGAGGUAAGUGGAAUUCCUGGUGUAGCGGUGGAAUGCGUAGAUAUCAGGAGGAAUACCGGUGGCGAAGGCGACUUACUGGACUUAAACUGACGCUCAGGCACGAAAGCGUGGGGAGCAAACAGG
rnacentral:rRNA from 1 species